GACGAACGCUGGCGGCGUGCUUAACACAUGCAAGUCGAGCGGUAAGGCCCUUUCGGGGGUACGACGAGCGGCGAACGGGUGAGUAACACGUGGGUGACCUGCCCUCAGCUCUGGGAUAAGCCUGGGAAACCGGGUCUAAUACUGGAUAUGACUCCAUGACGCAUGUUGUGGGGUGGAAAGCCUUGUGCGGCUGAGGAUGGGCCCGCGGCCUAUCAGCUUGUUGGUGGGGUGACGGCCUACCAAGGCGACGACGGGUAGCCGGCCUGA
rnacentral:rRNA from 1 species